rnacentral:rRNA from 1 species
UACGAAGGGGGCUAGCGUUGUUCGGAUUUACUGGGCGUAAAGCGCACGUAGGCGGAUCGAUCAGUCAGGGGUGAAAUCCCAGAGCUCAACUUCGGAACUGCCUUUGAUACAGCACGUCUUGAGUCCGAUAGAGGUGGGUGGAAUUCCUAGUGUAGAGGUGAAAUUCGUAGAUAUUAGGAAGAACACCGGUGGCGAAGGCGGCCCACUGGAUCGGUACUGACGCUGAGGUGCGAAAGCGUGGGGAGCAAACAGG